AUUGAACGCUGGCGGCAGGCCUAACACAUGCAAGUCGAGCGAGUGGCGGACGGGUGAGUAAUGUCUGGGAAUCUGCCUGAUGGAGGGGGAUAACUACUGGAAACGUUAGCUAAUACCGCAUACCAUCAGAUGAACCCAUAUGGGAUUAGCUUGUAGGUGGGGUAACGGCUCACCUAGGCGACGAUCCCUAGCUGGUCUGAGAGGAUGAUCAGCCACACUGGAACUGAGACACGGCCCAGACUCCUACGGGAGGCAGCAGUGGGGAAUAUUGCACAAUGGGCGCAAGCCUGAUGCAGCCAUGCCGCGUGUAUGAAGAAGGCCUUCGGGUUGUAAAGUACUUUCAGUCGGGAGGCGUUACCGACAGAAGAAGCACCGGCUAACUCCGUGCCAGCAGCCGCGGUAAUUC
rnacentral:rRNA from 1 species